AGGACCUACGGGAGGCAGCAGUGAGGAAUAUUGGUCAAUGGGCUUACGCCUGAACCAGCCAAGUCGCGUGAGGGAAGACUGCCCUAUGGGUCGUAAACCUCUUUUGUCGGGGAGCAAAGAGAGUCACGUGUGGCUCAUUGAGAGUACCCGAAGAAAAAGCAUCGGCUAACUCCGUGCCAGCAGCCGCGGUAAUACGGAGGAUGCGAGCGUUAUCCGGAUUUAUUGGGUUUAAAGGGUGCGCAGGCGGAGGUGCAAGUCAGUGGUCAAAUUGCGGGGCUCAACCCCGUACUGCCGUUGAAACUGCA
rnacentral:rRNA from 1 species